rnacentral:rRNA from 1 species
AACGCGAAGAACCUUACCAGCGUUUGACAUGCCAGGACGGUUUCCAGAGAUGGAUUCCUUCCCUUACGGGACCUGGACACAGGUGCUGCAUGGCUGUCGUCAGCUCGUGUCGUGAGAUGUUGGGUUAAGUCCCGCAACGAGCGCAACCCUCGUCUUUAGUUGCCACCAUUUAGUUGGGCACUCUAAAGAAACUGCCGGUGAUAAGCCGGAGGAAGGUGGGGAUGACGUCAAGUCCUCAUGGCCCUUACGCGCUGGGCUACACACGUGCUACAAUGGCGGUGACAACGGGCAGCAAACUCGCGAGAGUGAGCAAAUCCCAAAAAGCCGUCUCAGUUCGGAUUGUUCUCUGCAACUCGAGAGCAUGAAGGCGGAAUCGCUAGUAAUCGCGGAUCAGCACGCCGCGGUGAAUACGUUCCCAGGCCUUGUACACACCGACGCGUA